GCUUACGGCCACACUACCUUGAGAACGCCCGAUCUCGUCUGAUCUCGGAAGCUAAGCAGGGUCGGGCCUGGUUAGUACUUGGAUGGGAGACCGCCUGGGAAUACCAGGUGCUGUAAGCA
rnacentral:rRNA from 1 species